rnacentral:misc_RNA from 1 species
UACAAGUUAUUUUCCAUUUGGGGAAGUUAAAGACCUUUCUUUUCCAGUCCCUUCUUUUUCUUUCACAUUCAUUCAAAAAAUAAAAAUCUAUUCUCUUGUGGUGCUCCAUUCAUUGGUAUUUAUUUUGAUGAUUUAAUUAUCUAUUUAUUUUCUCUGAAGGAUGUGACAGAUAGAAAGUUGGGAAUGAAGCUUGGUUUUGUUUACAGUUGCAUUGUUAAUUUGUUUUAUGAACAAAUAUUUAUUUGAUCGUGUUAAAUUUUAAUUUUAGUUUUAGUUUUGAUCACUUUCCGCCUCUGUUUGAAAUUCUUAUCACUCUGUUGUUGAGAAUUACGAUUGCAAGUAGUCAUCUGUUUUUAAGAUUCAAUUUUCACUCCCUGCUUUUAUUAGAGUUUCUGUUUUCUUCUUACUUGGUUUAUUUUCAUGGUUAAUUUUAGUCCCCAAUUAAUUAUACAUAUGAUCUGUUCAUCUUCUAGAUUUGAUUUUGCAUUUUUUUUAAUAAUUUUUUAGGCAAAUUACACAUGUAUGAUGAAUGAAGUUAAUUUUCGCAGCAUGGAACGAAAUGAGAAAGAAGUUGUUGCAAGUGAUAUGGCUGGGAAUGCUGAUCUCCAGGGAAAAGCCUGUGAUUUUCCCUUGAAAUUAGAAGACCACAAUGUUUUUGAAUCACCGAUAAUGUGUGCAUCUUUGAGGAGUGAUUGGCCAGAGAGCUCAACCCAUGGUUGUAUAGGUCCAGGUAGAGUAGAAGAUAGGGAUUCCAGUACUUGUGUCAUUUCUUUGGCAGGGUCUGUACCUCCCAAGACUAAUCCGUGUUCUAUGAAUGAUGUGAGAAAUGUGCUUGAAUUGACGGAGGGAAAUUAUAGGACUCCUAAUCUAUCCUUAGUUAGUAGCCCUUUGAAUAAUCGUCGAGGAAAAUGGCAGCAUCAUUUAUCUGAGUUGCCUAGUGGGUCUAUAUAUAAGGCUUUACAGGGUGUUCAUGAUACCCAAGAAAGCUCUGCAUGUUUAAGGACUAAUGACAAGAGAAUUAUAUCGAGCUGUAAUGUUGAUAUUCCUCUUAACAACUUACCUACUUCUAGCUCUUUUCAGCUAUUGGUAAAAAAAGCCUUGAAGGGAAAAGGAGCUUUGGCCAAAAAUGAAGAUGCUGAAGCUGGAUUUAGCAGUGCCGCAAGAAAGAUUGCUUCUGAUGCAUUGAUGAGAUCAAGUGCCAACAGUAAUAAGCUUUCUUUGCAUUGGAUUGACGGGUCUAGUCCUGAAUCUAUACAUCAUGGGAUCAGCUUGAGAGAAUGGAUGAAACGUGGGCAUUGCAGAAGAGAUAAUGUUGAAAGCCUGCUUAUUUUCAGGCGAAUUGUGGAGUUGGUGGAUUCAGCACACUCUCAAGGAGUUGCCCUGCAAGACCUGAGGCCAUCCUGCUUUAAUUUAUUGCCAUCUAAUAAGAUUGUGUAUACUGGUUCAUCUGCCAAGAGAGAAUCGAAGGCUGCUGUAUUCCAUGAUUUGCUUAGGAAAAGGCCAAUGGAACAAGAUACAGGCACCUAUGGAAGUUUAGUCAGAAAACAGCAAAAGCUUGGUGAGGACUUGAACUCUUUUGGACACCAGUCUCAGUUUGCCUCUAAUGCCAUCAGGACUAUGGCAGAUGAGAUUAGCUCUCGUGCAAAUGGUGCACAAGACUCUGGGAAUGUUGAACUUCAGUCUGAGCGCCAUUCUAAUUACCAAAGUUCAUGUAUGAAAACUAAUCAACGAACUCUUUCUUUAACUGUACAAUUGGAAGAAAAAUGGUAUAGAAGUCCAGAGCAGCUGAAUGGGGGGUUUAGCACAUUUUCAUCAAAUAUCUAUAGCCUGGGAGUUCUUCUUUUUGAGGUGAGUUCUGGCUGCAGUUAUUGGUCCUGCUUCUAAGUUUAUUAAACUUGAUUUUCCUAAGUUUAGGAUUGUUGUGCCAUUUGUGAAAUGUGAAACCAAUGUGGUAAGUCUCAUUUUCUUCAUUAUGACAUUGCAGAGCUUUAUUUAAGGAAUUUAUCGUUACAAAGAACUACUGAUUUUAUACCAUUAAUGUUAUCUAGAGACAUAUCUUUUGUUAAAUACUCCUGUAUAGAACAUAGAUAAGGAAUAAAUUACUCUCAUGCAAGUAAAAAGUACCUUUAGUAGGGUUGAGUGGAAAGUCGAUCUUUUCAACUGAUGUGAGCUGUUUCCAUCAGUUGCUCAGCUGGUUUGAAUCACAUGAGAUUCAUUCUAUUGUUAUGUUGGAUUUGCACCAAAGGAUUCUACCAUCAAAUUUUCUUUCAAAAUAUCCAAAGGAAGCUGGCUUUUGUCUUUGGUUUCUUCAUCCUGAACCUUCAUCUCGUCCAACAGCAAGGUAUAACCGUCUGGAUUUCUUUAUCUAUUGCCUUCUACUCUAAUUAUAUAACAUGCUGUUAAUUGCUGAAUUGGUUUUGCAUACCAUGGCAAUGAUUAUACAUUGUUGAUUGUGGCUGAGGGUAGUGAAAAUUUCCUAUCCUCUUCUUCUUCAAUAGCCUUCCUUGUACUUGACUAAAAUCCAUCUGUUUCCUUCUUGUAUCCUUCUAAAUUUUCCAUGUGUUCUGUGCUGAAUAUCAUUGACAACUAAGAAUGUAGAGCCAUCUAGUAAAUAUAAGCCAUUUCUUUAAUUGCAGGUUAGAUGCUCUGCUGUAAAUGAUUAUUUGGAUAGUGCUUCUGUUGUUUCCAUGCAGUUUAAAACAUAAUGGCUGUCUGCUGAUGACAGUUGAACGCUCAGCUACAGUGUUACAAACAACUAAACUUUGAGUGUAAUUGCUUGUUUACAUCUAAAACUGUAGUUGCUUCCUAUAUGCUUGUGAUGUUCCUUGGUAUCCUAAGAUAUGAUAUAUGUAUCUUCAGGUGCUGGGCACCUAUGAGAAGAAAAUAAUCAGUAAUGGUCAUUUAAAUAACAUGGCUGCAAGGAAAUAGUUCACAAAGAAUAUAAGUAUUCAAUAAGAUAGCUCCUUUGUGGCCGGAUGACUGGUUUAAUGCUUGACAAGGUUUUAUUUUUGCUUUAUGUUCAACUGAUAGAUUUUGACAUUGCUGUCGCUCUGCUAUGUAUUUUACCUUGUUUCUUGGAUUUCAUAUAAUGUGCAGUUCUAGUUGCCAAUUCCAUAUGCUGCAUGUUGGUUUUGUAUAGAUUACCAAAUGCUUCUAUGCAUCUCAUUAGGCUGAUACUGUAUGUCAUUGAAAUGUGGCUAAACAUGAUAUAAUUUCAAAGCCCUUUAUUUGGCAUGCGACAGUGAAAUCCUGCAGUCGGAAUUAAUUUGUCAAUCCCAGGAAUGUUGUUCUGGGAAUGAUGUAUCAACAUGUCCUGACAAUAAUGAUGCUGAAUUGGAGCUGUUGCUUCAUUUUCUCAAUCUAUUAAAAGAACAAAAACAGAUGCAUGCCUCCAAGUUAAUUGAACAUAUUGAGUGGUUGGAAGAUGAUAUUAAGGAGGUUGAGAAAGGACAUUUCUCAAGGAUUUCCUCAGUUUUCUCUCAGACAGAUGCAAGAGAACAAGGAUUGCAUCUUGGUGCAAGUUCAGUUGCUAUUUCUGGAUCAUUUUCUGACACCAACAUGAAUGAGGAAAGGUCAAUGAGAAAUGUUAACCAGAUUGAUAAUGCCUAUUUCUCCAUGAGAUCACAAAUCCAUCUUUCUUCUGCAUCAUGCUUUGAUAAAGAUUUUCUCAAGAGUCAAGAUAGGUGGUCUGCAUUUCGUAAUGAGAAGGAGGAGUCAAACAUGAUUCAGAAAUCUGCUGAUCCCCUUGGGGCCUUUUUUGAUGGUUUAUGUAAGUUUGCUCGAUAUAGUAAGUUUGAAGUGUGUGGAUCACUGAAAAAUGGAGAUCUCCUAAGUUCUACAAAUGUACUCUGCUCUUUAAGUUUUGAUCGUGAUGAGGAAUACAUCGCUGCUGCUGGGGCGUCAAAAAAGAUCAAGGUUUUUGAGUUUGGCACACUUUUAAAUGAUUCCAUCGAUAUCCAUUAUCCUGUAGUUGAGAUGUCAAACAAAUCUAAGCUUAGUUGUGUCUGCUGGAACAACCACAUCAAGAACUAUUUGGCUUCAACUGAUUAUGAUGGUGUGAUUCAGAUUUGGGAUGCAGGCACUGGUCAAGGGUUUUCUCAAUAUACAGAUCACCAAAAGAGGGCAUGGUCUGUGGACUUUUCACUAGCUAAUCCUAUGAUGUUUGCCAGUGGAAGUGAUGACUGUUCUGUCAGAUUGUGGAGCAUUAAUGAGAGAGGUUCUAUCGGUACCAUUUGGAAUCCGGCCAAUAUAUGCUGUGUUCAGUUCUCAGCCUCCUCUGCUCAUUUUUUAGCGUUUGGAUCUGCUGACUAUAAGAUCUACUGCUAUGAUCUGCGGCAUACUAGAACCCCUUGGAGCAUAUUAGCUGGCCAUGAAAAAGCUGUUAGCUAUGUGAAAUUUUUAGAUUCAGAAACCCUUGUUUCUGCAUCCACAGACAAUACUCUAAAGCUUUGGGAUCUUGAAAAGACUAGCUCACCUGGGUUGUCCUCCAGUACUUGUCGCCUGACAUUUGGUGGUCACACGAACAAGAAGAAUUUUGUAGGCUUAUCUGCUCUGGAUGGAUAUAUAGCAUGUGGUUCAGAAACUAAUGAGGUUUACUGCUAUUAUCGAUCCUUGCCAAUGCCAAUCACUUCUUAUAAAUUUGGAUAUGUUGAUCCUAUUUCUGGAAACAAGAUUGAUGAUGAUAAUGGACAGUUUGUUUCAAGCGUCUGUUGGAGACAAAAAUCGAACAUGGUUGUCGCUGCGAACUCAAUGGGAAAAAUGAAGGUAUUAAAGAUGGUGUGAGUUGUGGCAAGAGCUUGCCCUCUACAGCACAUUCAUCCAGGAAGGCAGGAAGCAGAACUACUCUUGGAGCAUUUGCUAUUUGGAUGCCAGUCGCAAAAAGUUGUCUCAAUUGGGGUGGGAGGACGGUGCAUAAGUGUGACCUUGGUUUAAACACUAAGGAAACAUGUGCUAGUCUUGAGCUCUCUCAUUUGCUGAGGAAAUAUUAUUUCAUAGAUGCUUUCGGCCAACUAUUAAUGACAUGCUGCUUGCAACAGCUUCACUUCAAUGACAUGAACUAUUGGUUUCAUAGCUAACCAGGCUACUGAGUCGAUGAAGAUCAAAUACCCGUAACUAUUUCAAGGACAGGGAUUCUAAGCUGCAGCCGUUAGAAAAGGAGCAUAUUCCAGCCAAAGCUCUUUUAAACAAUUUAAAGGGAGGCUAAAUUUGGUUAAUAUUUAAACUUUGGAAAGAGAGGAUAUUCGCACAGGCAAUUGGUUAUUAAACUGACAUUUGAAGAUGAAUGUAGAUGCUUGGAACUAUAAAAGAGGCUUAUAUUAUGGAUUGCUCCUCAGAACUGUACAUCUAUAUGGGUGAGGUAUGCAGUCACCCAUUUUUCUAAAGUAACAUAAUUUUUUUUACUAUGGAUUGUAUAUAAGCUAUUAUGGUGAAUUGCAUUGUUUUCUGUAUUUCUAUCAUUAUUAUAUAGAAUUAUGAUCAGCUGUGACUGUCUAUUACUG